rnacentral:rRNA from 1 species
UACGGAGGAUGCAAGCGUUAUCCGGAAUGAUUGGGCGUAAAGCGUCUGUAGGUCGUUUCCUAAGUCUCCUGUCAAAGAUCAAGGCUUAACCUUGAAAAGGCAGUGGAAACUGGGAGGCUUGAGUACGGUAGAGGCGGAGGGAAUUCCCGGUGUAGCGGUGAAAUGCGUAGAGAUCGGGAAGAACACCAAAGGCGAAAGCACUCUGCGGGGCCGAAAAUGACAAUGAGAGACGAAAGCGAGGGGAGCAAAUGGG